rnacentral:ncRNA from 14 species
CCUUCGAUAGCUCAGUUGGUAGAGCGGUGGACUGUAGUGGAUACGUAAUUCAGUAGAAAUCCAUAGGUCGCUGGUUCAAAUCCGGCUCGAAGGA